UGGGGAAUAUUGGACAAUGGGCGCAAGCCUGAUCCAGCCAUGCCGCGUGUGUGAAGAAGGCCUUUUGGUUGUAAAGCACUUUAAGCGAGGAGGAGGCUACUUGGAUUAAUACUCUAGGAUAGUGGACGUUACUCGCAGAAUAAGCACCGGCUAACUCUGUGCCAGCAGCCGCGGUAAUACAGAGGGUGCGAGCGUUAAUCGGAUUUACUGGGCGUAAAGCGUGCGUAGGCGGCUUCUUAAGUCGGAUGUGAAAUCCCUGAGCUUAACUUAGGAAUUGCAUUCGAUACUGGGAAGCUAGAGUAUGGGAGAGGAUGGUAGAAUUCCAGGUGUAGCGGUGAAAUGCGUAGAGAUCUGGAGGAAUACCGAUGGAGAAGGCAGCCAUCUGGCCUAAUACUGACGCUGAGGUACGAAAGCAUGGGGAGCAAACAGG
rnacentral:rRNA from 1 species